AGUGAACGCUGGCGGUAGGCCUAACACAUGCAAGUCGAACGGCAGCACAGUAAGAGCUUGCUCUUACGGGUGGCGAGUGGCGGACGGGUGAGGAAUACAUCGGAAUCUACUUUUUCGUGGGGGAUAACGUAGGGAAACUUACGCUAAUACCGCAUACGCCCUACGGUUGAAAGCAGGGGAUCUUCGGACCUUGCGCGAUUGAAUGAGCCGAUGUCGGAUUAGCUAGUUGGCGGGGUAAAGGCCCACCAAGGCGACGAUCCGUAGCUGGUCUGAGAGGAGGAUCAGCCACACUGGAACUGAGACACGGUCCAGACUCCUACGGGAGGCAGCAGUGGGGAAUAUUGGACAAUGGGCGCAAGCCUGGUCCAGCCAUACCGCGUGGGUGAAGAAGGCCUUCGGGUUGUAAAGCCCUUUUGUUGGGAAAGAAAAGCAGCAGGUUAAUACCCCGCUGUUCUGACGGUACCCAAAGAAUAAGCACCGGCUAACUUCGUG
rnacentral:rRNA from 1 species